AAUAAAAGUAAUCUACAGUAAAUGUAUCCCAGGUCCUUAUUCAAUGAUAAAACCCCCCACAGUGCAGUGAAAAUAAAUUGUUAGUGAGUCUCAGUAGUGUCUACAAAGAGGGUACUAUCUCUUGGAUUAAUAUGAAGUCCCUUCCAACAAUUCUCAGCGUUAUUUGCUGGAAAACAGCAAGAGGAGCAGCAGCUUUCAUGUGUUUGGGUUUUUUUUCCCUUGCAGGCACGUCUAGGCAUUGUCACUCUGGUCUGAAUCAGACCUGUCUGGGCAUUCACCCUCCUGUCACAGAAGAAGCAAAGGAUGCAGCAAGGCUCAGAGUAAGCAGCUCCAGGUGUCAACUGAGCAAAGUCCAGAUCAGCUGCAGUUAUUCCAGAGUAUGCGUCCACAUGCAGAAUAUUCCAGAACAGGUGAGCUGUCCUUCCACUGUCCACUUCUCUUGUGGGUGAAUAUGGGAUGUUGGAUUUUGGAAGUGGGGAGAAAUCCACCAGUUUCAGCAGUACUGGUCAGACCUUGUCCCAACAGCCCGGGGAGGUUAUGCUUUGCCUGGGCGGUGCCACCUACAGGGUGUCCUGGUGGCUGCUGCUGUGCAUGGGAUUGCUGUGCAGCCCCAUUUCCCAGUGGGAUUCCCCAUGGGGUGUCCCCCAGGGGCUGCGGCAGGGAGAAAUGGGGUGAGAGACAGGCCGAGACAGCUGAAGAGCCGAGCUGUGGCCAGACCUCACAAGGCUCCUCUCUCUGAUUUAAGGACAGGCUGCCCUAUGAACACUGAUCUGGGUCUCCUGGGAGCAAACUCAGAGAAUCCUGCUGAUUGCUCUGGACAUGAGAUUCUGAUGGGAAUACCUGGCCAAUGCAACAUUUAUUAACGCACCCAUCUCAGGUGUUAUUCACCCCUGAACCUGUACGAGCCAAUGUCACUUCACAAUUCCCUCUUUGCAGACAAAUCCUAAACCUGUAUGGAUCCAGGGUUGCCCUUACCAUUCCUGGAGCUCUCCACUUCCUGCUUUUCCUGUUGCUUUCUGCAGCCAGCUUCACAAAACCCAAACAGGAAUAAUGGGUAAAAUAAAUAUUUCCAGCUGAGGAUUCUGCUUCCA
rnacentral:lncRNA from 1 species